rnacentral:rRNA from 1 species
UACGUUCCCGGGCCUUGUACACACCGCCCGUCACACCACGAAAGUCGGCAACACCCGAAGCCGGUGGCCCAAUCCGUAAGGGAGGGAGCCGUCGAAGGUGGGGUCGGUGAUUGGGGUG